UUAAUGUGUGUCUCCUGAAUUUA
rnacentral:siRNA from 1 species